rnacentral:rRNA from 1 species
GAACCCUGAUCCAGCCAUGCCGCGUGUGUGAAGAAGGCCUUAUGGUUGUAAAGCACUUUAAGCGAGGAGGAGGCUCUUUUGGUUAAUACCCAAGAUGAGUGGACGUUACUCGCAGAAUAAGCACCGGCUAACUCUGUGCCAGCAGCCGCGGUAAUACAGAGGGUGCGAGCGUUAAUCGGAUUUACUGGGCGUAAAGCGUGCGUAGGCGGCUUUUUAAGUCGGAUGUGAAAUCCCCGAGCUUAACUUGGGAAUUGCAUUCGAUACUGGGAAGCUAGAGUAUGGGAGAGGAUGGUAGAAUUCCAGGUGUAGCGGUGAAAUGCGUAGAGAUCUGGAGGAAUACCGAUGGCGAAGGCAGCCAUCUGGCCUAAUACUGACGCUGAGGUACGAAAGCAUGGGGAGCAAACAGGAUUAGAUACCCUGGUAGUCCAUGCCGUAAACGAUGUCUACUAGCCGUUGGGGUCUUUGAGACUUUAGUGGCGCAGCUAACGCGAUAAGUAGA